rnacentral:rRNA from 1 species
AACGAACGCUGGCGGCGUGCUUAACACAUGCAAGUCGAACGGGGUUAUACGGAGAAAUUGGUUUCGGCUGGUGGAUUUGUAUAACUUAGUGGCGGACGGGUGAGGAACACGUAGGUAACCAAUCCUGAAGCGGGGGACAACUGCGGGAAACCGGAGCUAAUACCGCAUAAGACCACAGGCUGGAAGGCUGGUGGUUAAAAGGAGCAAUUCACUUCAGGCUGGGCCUGCGGCCUAUCAGGUAGUUGGUGGGGUAAGAGCCUACCAAGCCAGAGACGGGUAGCCGGACUGAGAGGUUGAACGGCCACACUGGAACUGAGACACGGUCCAGACUCCUACGGGAGGCAGCAGUGGGGAAUUUUGCGCAAUGGGGGAAACCCUGACGCAGCGACGCCGCGUGGAGGAUGAAGGUUUUCGGAUUGUAAACUCCUUUUGUAGGGGAAAAUAGUGAUGGUACCCUACGAAUAAGCCACGGCUAACUCUGUG